ACAACUGAGAAACAACAGCUUCAAUGCUUCUUUACUUCAUAUUCAAACUCGCAAAUGGAGUAUAUAGAGGGUUUGAGCGUCUUCCCAAUCAUCUAUGUGGUCCGCCUUUAAUCGCAUAACCCCAAAGCUCUCUCACCAGUAUCCGAUAAUGGCUAAUCAACCCCAACUCUCGGAGGUUAAGACAUGAGGAGAUUUGAUGUGUAUUGAUCUGGUCCUGCUGGAUGGAAAGAUUGUUUGAUAUCGUAGAUAUUCAGCACCUGAAAUAUCCUUCACGACCUUUCACUCUCGAAACAGUAGCUUCCCGUCAUGGUGAAUUCUCAAACCCCACUUGAGAAUUGGGAUGGCUGAUCAAGAACUAGAAGCUAUCAGGCAGAGGAGAAUGCAAGAGUGAUAGUUCAACAUAGCACUGUAACUUCUAAUUUCUAAUAACCUUCAACGUAAGCCAGUUCUGUUUUUUUUUCAA